rnacentral:rRNA from 1 species
AUGCCCAGCCCGCUGAAGCGCCCCUCCCUCGGCCGCCUGCUCGCCGCCCUCCGGUCGCCGCCCCGCGUCCCGGUCCAGACCGGCUUCCCCACCGCCCUUGCCGACCUCGUCGUCAAGAACCAUGCCCGCCUCAGGAAGCCCCGCAAGCCGCGCCGCCCCACCACCGCCCUGGCGCUGCCUCAGUCUCCGGCGGAGACACCGGUGGACGUAGCGGAGAUUCCUUCGCUGCCGUCAUCGCCCGGGCCUCUGUCGCCGGUGGUCGUGGAGGGCUCCUCGGCCCCGGUGGCGCGGCGGCUGGACGCGCCCAAAGGCGCCGCCUUCUUCCGGCCCCGCCCGGAGCUCCUCGCGCUCGGCGGGGCCGUGGCGCUCGCGCUCCUCGCCGUGUUGAGCGAGGGGGCCGUCGCGGCCUUCACCAUCGCCUCGCUGGCGCUGCUCUGGAUGGAGUCGGCCUCCCGCCGGCGCCGGCGCUCCUCGCGCCCGGCGGAGCUGCCCGAUUCGCGCGGCCCCGCCGCCGUGUCGCCGAUUCGGGAGGUGGAAGAAGCGCCCGGCUGCUCCGAUUCCGACAAGAGGAGCGAGGGCCCCUCCGAGAGGCGCGAGCUCGUCUCCGGCGGUGAAGAUCCGGCCAGCCCGAAGAGCAAAGCGAGGAGGUCGCUGAGGAAGAUGAUCUCCAAGACGCUGCAGAAGAAGCCCAAGGCGAAGGACGCCUCGGCCUCUAGCGAGGGCGGCGCGGAGGCAGUUAGAACCGAGGCCUUUGUAAUUCCAGCCCCUUCCUUGGCCGAGCAGACGCCGUCGGAAGCAAGCACAGAGUCUUCGCCGGUGUCGGUGGAGACGGAAAGGCGAGGCCUCGCCGCCGGGAAGCUCCCGGCGACGGCGCUUGCCGUGCUCUGCGUGGCCUUCUUCGGCCGGCGCCGUGCAGCAAAUUUAGGCUAG